ensembl:lncRNA
AGAGGACCGUCCCGGACGAAAUUUGCUACUCAGUAUUUUUUUAAUGUUUGGCUUUAUAAGUGCAUACAUAUGUUAAGGAAAAAAGAAAGAAAAAGAAGAAGGAAAGGAAGAGAAAUAUAUGUUCCCCGGAGAUCCCCCCCCGAACCGUGCUGUAUAAAACGAAUGUUUCUGCACUGAACUACGGAAAGGAAACCCCUCUCUCUCCCCCUCCCUCCCCUCGCUAAGAAAGCGGAGAGCGGCUCGUUGAGCGUAAGUUCUGACUGACACGACGCGGAGGAAAACCCCCCCCGCUUUGCAAUCGAACGCCGACACCUUCGGGGCGACUUUCCCGGCCGGGCUCUCCCCUCAUCCCGCUCCCGAGCACCGCGAUUUCCCUUUCUGGAGCCAAACCAGACGCCAGAUAAUCACACAGAUAAAGCUUUUAUAAUAAGGCUUAAACCGAGACCUUGCCUGGAUAUUUUUAGUUUGUUGCCAAGGUAGCACUGUGAGAAAUCUCACUUGAAUGUUAUGUAAGAGGUGAGACACAACAGUCUGACUCGGCGCGAGCGCGUACCCGGCUCGGCCCGGCGCUUCGGUGCAUUGCUGCUGCUGUUGCUGCUGUUCGCCUCAAACGCUGUGUUUAAACAACGUUCCAGACCUUAGCGGCCUACCGAGUGGCUGUAUGUACAUAGUUGUUAAUACAUCCAAUUAAUGAUGUCUGACAUGCUAUUUUUGUAGGGAGAAAAUACGUGUUAAUGAUAUUUUGAGUUAAAUAUCUUUUGGGAGGAUUUGCUGACAAAGUUGCACUUUUGUUACGAUGCUUACGCUUGAUACGAGCUUACGCCGUCUUAAAUUAUUAAAAGAAAAUAAAUCCUGUCUGCAAGAAACCAGCCGGUUUAGAACAGAUUAGUAUGUGAUAUAUUAGAGACCGAUCUUUAUAUUCCGUAUUUUCCAGCACUCCAUGAAUUCUAUUAUCUAAAUAUUUCCACACUAUUUUGUGAUUGAAAAAGUUCUUACUAAGGAAUAAAAACUUUAAUACG